rnacentral:rRNA from 1 species
AGUGAACGCUGGCGGUAGGCCUAACACAUGCAAGUCGAACGGCAGCACAGUAAGAGCUUGCUCUUACGGGUGGCGAGUGGCGGACGGGUGAGGAAUACAUCGGAAUCUACUUUUUCGUGGGGGAUAACGUAGGGAAACUUACGCUAAUACCGCAUACGACCUACGGGUGGAAGCAGGGGAUCUUCGGACCUUGCGCGAUUGAAUGAGCCGAUGUCGGAUUAGCUAGUUGGCGGGGUAAAGCCCACCAAGGCGACGAUCCGUAGCUGGUCUGAGAGGAUGAUCAGCCACACUGGAACUGAGACACGAUCCAGACUCCUACGGGAGGCAGCAGUGGGGAAUAUUGGACAAUGGGCGCAAGCCUGAUCCAGCCAUACCGCGUGGGUGAAGAAGGCCUUCGGGUUGUAAAGCCCUUUUGUUGGGAAAGAAAAGCAGCAGGUUAAUACCCCGCUGUUCUGACGGUACCCAAAGAAUAAGCACCGGCUAACUUCGUG